CACGUAGGGCGCAAGCGUUGUCCGGAAUUAUUGGGCGUAAAGAGCUCGUAGGCGGUCUGUUACGUCUGCUGUGAAAACCCGGGGCUUAACCCUGGGCUUGCAGUGGAUACGGGCAGACUAGAGGCAGGUAGGGGAGAAUGGAAUUCCCGGUGUAGCGGUGAAAUGCGCAGAUAUCAGGAGGAACACCGGUGGCGAAGGCGGGUCUCUGGGCAGUAACUGACGCUGAGGAGCGAAAGCGUGGGGAGCGAACAGG
rnacentral:rRNA from 1 species